rnacentral:rRNA from 1 species
UACCGCAUAACCCGCUAGGGCCGCAUGGCCCGGACGGAAAAGAUUUAUCGGUGUGAGAUGGACCCGCGUUGGAUUAGCUAGUUGGCAGGGUAACGGCCUACCAAGGCGACGAUCCAUAGCCGGCCUGAGAGGGUGAACGGCCACAUUGGGACUGAGACACGGCCCAAACUCCUACGGGAGGCAGCAGUGGGGAAUAUUGCACAAUGGGGGAAACCCUGAUGCAGCGACGCCGCGUGAGUGAAGAAGUAUUUCGGUAUGUAAAGCUCUAUCAGCAGGGAAGAAAAUGACGGUACCUGACUAAGAAGCCCCGGCUA